UACAGAGGGGGCAAGCGUUGUCCGGAGUUACUGGGCGUAAAGGGUCCGCAGGUGGUUUGACAAGUGUCGUGUGAAAGCCCCGUGCUUAACACGGGGAGGCCACGGCAGACUGUCAGACUCGAGUGAUGCAGAGGGUGGUGGAAUUGCCGGUGUAGUGGUGAAAUGCGUAGAGAUCGGCAGGAACACCCAGGGCGAAAGCAGCCACCUGGGCAUCAACUGACACUGAGGGACGAAAGCGUGGGGAGCGAACCGG
rnacentral:rRNA from 1 species